rnacentral:rRNA from 1 species
GACGAACGCUGGCGGCGUGCUUAACACAUGCAAGUCGAACGGAAAGGCCCUGCUUUUGUGGGGUGCUCGAGUGGCGAACGGGUGAGUAACACGUGAGUAACCUGCCCUUGACUUUGGGAUAACUUCAGGAAACUGGGGCUAAUACCGGAUAGGAGCUCCUGCUGCAUGGUGGGGGUUGGAAAGUUUCGGCGGUUGGGGAUGGACUCGCGGCUUAUCAGCUUGUUGGUGGGGUAGUGGCUUACCAAGGCUUUGACGGGUAGCCGGCCUGAGAGGGUGACCGGCCACAUUGGGACUGAGAUACGGCCCAGACUCCUACGGGAGGCAGCAGUGGGGAAUAUUGCACAAUGGGCGGAAGCCUGAUGCAGCAACGCCGCGUGCGGGAUGACGGCCUUCGGGUUGUAAACCGCUUUCGCCUGUGACGAAGCGUGAGUGACGGUAAUGGGUAAAGAAGCACCGGCUAACUACGUGCCAGCAGCCGCGGUGAUACGUAGGGUGCGAGCGUUGUCCGGAUUUAUUGGGCGUAAAGGGCUCGUAGGUGGUUGAUCGCGUCGGAAGUGUAAUCUUGGGGCUUAACCCUGAGCGUGCUUUCGAUACGGGUUGACUUGAGGAAGGUGGGGGAGAAUGGAAUUCCUGGUGGAGCGGUGGAAUGCGCAGAUAUCAGGAGGAACACCAGUGGCGAAGGCGGUUCUCUGGGCCUUUCCUGACGCUGAGGAGCGAAAGCGUGGGGAGCGAACAGGCUUAGAUACCCUGGUAGUCCACGCUGUAAACGGUGGGUACUAGGUGUGGGGUCCAUUCCACGGGUUCCGUGCCGUAGCUAACGCUUUAAGUACCCCGCCUGGGGAGUACGGCCGCAAGGCUAAAACUCAAAGGAAUUGACGGGGCCCCGCACAAGCGGCGGAGCAUGCGGAUUAAUUCGAUGCAACGCGUAGAACCUUACCUGGGUUUGACAUGGAUCGGGAGUGCUCAGAGAUGGGUGUGCCUCUUUUGGGGUCGGUUCACAGGUGGUGCAUGGCUGUCGUCAGCUCGUGUCGUGAGAUGUUGGGUUAAGUCCCGCAACGAGCGCAACCCUUGUUCACUGUUGCCAGCACGUUAUGGUGGGGACUCAGUGGAGACCGCCGGGGUCAACUCGGAGGAAGGUGGGGAUGACGUCAAGUCGUCAUGCCCCUUAUGUCCAGGGCUUCACGCAUGCUACAAUGGCUGGUACAGAGAGUGGCGAGCCUGUGAGGGUGAGCGAAUCUCGGAAAGCCGGUCUCAGUUCGGAUUGGGGUCUGCAACUCGACCUCAUGAAGUCGGAGUCGCUAGUAAUCGCAGAUCAGCAACGCUGCGGUGAAUACGUUCCCGGG